CCAACUAACUCUUGCCUAUUGUUCCCAAAACAAAUCUAUGUUAUCUGCUUCCAUAUUUAAAGCCACCUUGACCUCCGUAAUUUUUUCCAGUCUCCUCAUUUGGAACUUUCUUAUUCAAUUCACUCAGCCUAGAAUUCAAAUUUACCUUCUUACGAUUUUGAUCUACCUGACUUGUUUUGGCCUACCUACUCAGCGCAUCUCCUAGAUCAUCAAGCUUUGUUGGAAGCUCCUUUCCAUUCGACUCCCAACAUCUUUUUAAUUAAUCCUCAAAUCCCUUUUCCAACAUCCAAUCCACAUUAAAUCAAAAUUGAAAAUAUCUCAAUAUUGGGUUAACCCUCCUACAUCCAACUGUAUCAACUAAAAUCGGACAAUAAUAUAAAAAACCAUGUUGAAAAUGAUUCAUUGAAUACCCCGAAAAAGAUCCCACCAUGUCAAAUCAACUACUUACUCUCUAGCCUUCCCCUUAUGUUAUUUUUGGUAACCUUCCCCUUUGCCAAGUAAACCACUGUCUAGAGAAACCCAAAUCACUCAGGUUACACUCCUCCAGUACUUCUUGAAAAGCAAACAUUUGUCUCUCUUCAUGGAAAUGCCCCCUUUUUCUUAAAAGAAAACAUCACCUCAUUAAAACCCCAAUACUAGCCAAGAAAAAUGACUACUACUUCUCACUACCGUAGAACAUUCCAUGACUCAUUUCUUAAAUGCUCCAUAAGGGAACCAUAGAACCCAGUAAACCUCUAAAGAGCUACUCCUC
rnacentral:lncRNA from 1 species